rnacentral:rRNA from 1 species
CGCAAGGGGAGCGGCAGACGGGUGAGUAACGCGUGGGAAUCUACCCAACUCUACGGAACAACUCCGGGAAACUGGAGCUAAUACCGUAUACGUCCUUCGGGAGAAAGAUUUAUCGGAGUUGGAUGAGCCCGCGUUGGAUUAGCUAGUUGGUGGGGUAAUGGCCUACCAAGGCGACGAUCCAUAGCUGGUCUGAGAGGAUGAUCAGCCACACUGGGACUGAGACACGGCCCAGACUCCUACGGGAGGCAGCAGUGGGGAAUAUUGGACAAUGGGGGCAACCCUGAUCCAGCCAUGCCGCGUGAGUGAAGAAGGCCUUAGGG